rnacentral:rRNA from 1 species
UAAUACGUAGGGGGCGAGCGUUGUCCGGAAUUACUGGGCGUAAAGGGUGCGCAGGCGGCGCUUUAAGUCAGAUGUGAAAUACCCGGGCUUAACCUGGGGGGUGCAUCUGAUACUGGAGCGCUUGAGUGCAGGAGAGGAAAGUGGAAUUCCUAGUGUAGCGGUGAAAUGCGUAGAUAUUAGGAGGAACACCAGUGGCGAAGGCGACUUUCUGGACUGUAACUGACGCUGAGGCACGAAAGCGUGGGGAGCAAACAGG